UGCUGCUUUCUGCUGGGAUUACCACAUCUGUGAGGCUUGGAAUGAUCAGUAGCCAUCCUUUGUGCCAUGUUGGGACUGACAUAACACAGAGAGAGGGCAAAGCAGAGCCAGGAAGUGGAUAGAAGAUACUGUGUGAGAAGCUAGCAUACCCUUGGCUGUCCUAGCUUAUGAGUCUACUGCUAAGAUUUCAGCAUGUCCUGUGGCUGAGUUAAUCAGAGUUAUGACAGGAAGGUACCGGGCACACCAUCGCAAUGCUCCAUCAAUGCUAGUAUGUUGUGUUCUUUCCUUCAUAUCAAGUCAACUCAAGCUUGCUCUACUUACCUGGUGUACACAGUCUAAGAACUGUAAGAAGACUGGAGCAAAACCACUCCCCUGACAGUUGAGGGUCAAGCUGCUCCUCUGACUGAAUUUGUGACCAAAAGAGAGCCACUCUUUUUCAACCAACAUCUGGAAGCCUUCAAGUGUCCUAUAAAAGGGAUCACUGAGUAACUGAACCAGGGAUGUCACCUAGGGCAUAAGCAGGAUGGAUUGUCAUUAAUUUUAGUUCUGAAAAAGGCCUAUUACUAAGAUAAAAGCACUUCCUUCUGAUGAUAGCUAAUUCACAAAUUUACCUGGACAGCAAAUUUGUUCACUAACCAUUCCAGGAUGGCCAAUAAAAUUAAUUUUGUAAACUUGCC
rnacentral:lncRNA from 10 species